UACGUAGGGACCAAGCGUUGUUCGGAUUUACUGGGCGUAAAGGGCGCGUAGGCGGCAAUUCAAGUCAUCUGUGAAAUCUCCGGGCUUAACCCGAACGGUCAGAUGAUACUGCUUUGCUAGAGUGCGGAAGGGGCAAUCGGAAUUCUUGGUGUAGCGGUGAAAUGCGUAGAUAUCAAGAGGAACACCUGAGGUGAAGACGGGUUGCUGGGCCGACACUGACGCUGAUAGCGCGAAAGCCAGGGAGCAAACGGG
rnacentral:rRNA from 1 species